rnacentral:rRNA from 1 species
UACGUAGGGGGGCAAGCGUUGUCCGGAUUUAUUGGGCGUAAAGAGCGUGUAGGCGGCUGGGGUAGGUCCGUUGUGAAAACUCGAGGCUCAACCUCGAGACGCCGAUGGAAACCCUCCAGCUAGAGUCCGGGAAGAGGGAGAGUGGAAAUUCCUGGGUGGUAGGCGGGGUGAAAAUACGUAGAUAUCGGGGAAAGAACACCCUGAGGGCGAAGGGCGGGCUAUCUGGGCGGGUGGCACCUGGACCGCUGAUGCGCGAAAGCGGUGGGGAGGCGAAAACCAAGGGUGGAGAUCCCGGUACGGGGUCAGGACCCAAAG